rnacentral:tRNA from 1 species
CAAGGAGUAGCUUAACACCCAAAGCAGUCAGCUUACACCUGAAAGACGUACUCGUCCCCACCUCCUUGAG